GACGUAGGGCGCGAGCGUUGUCCGGAUUUAUUGGGCGUAAAGAGCUCGUAGGCGGCUUGUCGCGUCGAAUGUGAAAUCUCGGGGCUCAACUCCGAGCUUGCAUUCGAUACGGGCAGGCUAGAGUUCGGUAGGGGAGACUGGAAUUCCUGGUGUAGCGGUGAAAUACGCAGAUAUCAGGAGGAACACCGGUGGCGAAGGCGGCUCUCUGGAACGCAACUGACGCUGAGACGCGAAAGCGUGGGGAGCAAACAGG
rnacentral:rRNA from 1 species